rnacentral:pre_miRNA from 1 species
CAAGUACUCCCUUCGUCCGGAAUUACUUGUCAUCAAAAUGGAUGUGUCUAGAACUAAAAUACAUCUAGAUGCAUCCAUUUCAAUGACAAGUAUUUUCGGACGGAGGGAGUACAAG